GGGAUUGUGGACCCUCUGUCCCACAAGCCCCUCCCUGGUUUUUCCCUUCCCGAAGUUUUUCUCUCCUGAACUUUGACGCUGAUCGUCUCCGUGUGAAGCUCCGUGUUACGGAACCCACCUGGACCUCCACCCAGCUCUGUGUCCUGUAAGAGUGACUGGUCUAAAGAUGCCAUCAUUGAUUUUAAAGUCCAGCCUGUGUCUGCUGCAGAGAGGAUCAAUGGGAGACCUGCUGGUCCUGAACCUGAAUCCAGCUGUGUGUCCCUAAGGAGUGACUAGUCCAAUGGUCACAUCGUUAAUUUUAAAUCCCGGCCUCUGUCUGCAGCAGAGAGACUGACUGAAGAUGAUGAUGGAGGAAGAGGAGGACAGAGCAGAGUCUGCAGGAUCCAGCUGUCCGUCUGUGAGGAGUGACCGGUCCAAAGGAAACACUCCAGACUUCAGUGCUGAACCUGGACCAACGAGGUCAGAGAGCUG